UAAGGGAAGAGGUUUUUACUUUCUGUUUAUACACUUCUGCAAUGUUGUAAUUUUUUACACAAAGUAUGAAUUACUUUUAUGAUAAAAAAUUUUGUUCGUAGACAAAAUUCCUCUCCUUCAGCAUUCAGCUUCCUUAGUUAAAACACAAUCUCCAACGAAAGCAUGGAUAUGAUCCCCGUUUCCAGAAAAUCCUAGAAAGAAAUGCAGCCCUUGUUCAGUCCAACUCCAUCAUUUGAUAGAUUAGGAAAAUAGGUCCCAGAGAGUGACUUGUCCACUGUCAGGAUAUGGUGGCUGUGGCGCGUCACCUGACUCCAGCCUACUUAAUGCAUUUCAGCCUCUUCGGCCUUGAGGGCUCCUGCUGCUCACCUGAAACCAUUCCCAAGGAACCCACAAAAGCAGGCUCCCCGGGAGGAUUCCUGAGAACACCUACACACAAGCCUCAGAGAUCUGCCAAGACAUUCUCUUUCCGAUAGAACUAUUUAAUAUUUUUCUAUCAAAUAGUUGCCAAAUGACCUGCGCCAGUCAAAACUCAAUCUGACUUGUGACUAAAAGUAAUCUGAUGAAUCCAAAAGGUAUAUACAAAUCUAUCUAUCUAAGGCAUUUUCUCUUCAAAGUAGAAGACCUGGAAGACUAUACAGUUAUUCCCAAAAUGCUUCAACAUUUCUGGAACUCCUCUUUUAGAGUGGCCAUGAGUCCCCAGCACAUUCUUUAAAACAUCCUUGAAUUGGCAAAUACCCCUCUUUCCAGGAUACAUUUGAUUUUUUAAAAGAACUGCCAAUUAUUCAGAGUCUGGCGAAUAUGGUAGAUGAUUAACCAGGUUAAUAUUUCUGGUUAAUAAGGUGAAAUUAUAAUAAAACAAUGAUAAUUAUUUUAGUGUGGCUCAUAAAUUGGUCUUGAUAGUGGUAUAUUAAGGUUAAGUAAAGGCAGCAUGGUCACCGUAGAGAUUAAAGCCCAUUUUAGUUGGUUUAUGAUGUGAAUGAAUUCAGGUAGCACUGGGAGUCAUUAUAUGUUUAAAUAGUAUUAAAUGUUUCUUUUUAUGAAAAUCUUAAUUAUGACAUUCUCUGAAAUCUGGUUUCACAGUAUUAAAAUAAGGCUUUAAGGAAAAACAUUAAAUGGUAAUGAAAGCUUUAUUCUUUCAGUAUAUAUUCUCGUGGGCUUUUGGUCAAGAUAAGUAAUGACCAGAUGAAUGAGCUGGCAACCUUCUGCCCUCUGAAGUCUACUAGUAAUUGGAAGCUAAGUAAAACGUUGUCACAUGUUUAAAUACAUUUGAUAAUAUUCCACCAGCUUCUCCCUGUAUUCUGCAUGCUGGGCAAUGAAAUACCACAGCAUUUUAACAUAGAUGAAGAGUGAUUUUUUUUAAAGAAAGAAUUUCCAAAAGUCAUUCUUGGCUGGGCAUGGUAGUUCAUGCCUGUAAUCCCAGCACACUGGGAGGGCCAAGGCGGGAGGAUCGCUUGAGCCUAGGAGUUGAAGACCAGCCUAGGCAACACAGGGAGACCCCAUAUCCACAAAAAA
rnacentral:lncRNA from 1 species